GUCUUUUUGAUUAUAAUUUAAGGUUUGAUCUGCUCAAUGAUGUAUUUAAAUUGCCGCAGUAUUUUGACUGUGCAAAGGUAGCAUAAUAAUUAGCUUUUUUAUUGGAAGCUGGAAUGAAUGAUUGGACAAGAAAAUUUCUGUCUCUUUAUUAUUUUUAUUGAAUUUUACUUUUAAGUUAAAAGGCUUAAAUUUAUUUAAAAGACGAGAAGACCCUAUAGAGUUUAAUUUUUAAUAAUUUGGAAUUUUUUUUGGAAUUUAAAAAAUUUUAUUUUUUUAAUAAUUUGGUUGGGGUGACUGAAAGAUAAAAUAAACUCUUUUAAUUAUAAUCAAUUAUAUUUGAAUUUAAAAUCUAUUUUUAUAAGUUUAAAAUAAAUUACCUUAGGGAUAACAGCGUAAUUUUUUUUUAGAGUUCAUAUUAAAAGAAAAGUUUGCGACCUCGAUGUUGGAUUAAAAUUUAUUUUGGGUGUAGAAGCUUGAAUAUUAAGUCUGUUCGACUUUUAAAAUUUU
rnacentral:rRNA from 1 species